rnacentral:rRNA from 1 species
UAGCCCCUCGGGGGGAGCAGUGAGGAAUAUUGGUCAAUGGACGCAAGUCUGAACCAGCCAAGUAGCGUGCAGGAUGACGGCCCUCCGGGUUGUAAACUGCUUUUAGUUGGGAAUAAAAGGGGGCUCGUGAGCCCCGUAUUGUAUGUACCAUCAGAAAAAGGACCGGCUAAUUCCGUGCCAGCAGCCGCGGUAAUACGGAAGGUCCGGGCGUUAUCCGGAUUUAUUGGGUUUAAAGGGAGCGUAGGCCGGCUUUUAAGUCAGCUGGGAAAGUCGGCGGCUCAACCGUGGAAU